rnacentral:rRNA from 1 species
UACGUAGGGGUGCGAGCGUUGUCCGGAAUUAUUGGGCGUAAAGGGCUCGUAGGCGGUUUGUCGCGUCGGGAGUGAAAUCCACUGGCUUAACUGGUGGCUUGCUUUCGAUACGGGCAGACUGGAGGUAUGCAGGGGAGAACGGAAUUCCUGGUGUAGCGGUGAAAUGCGCAGAUAUCAGGAGGAACACCGGUGGCGAAGGCGGUUCUCUGGGCAUGUUCUGACGCUGAGGAGCGAAAGUGUGGGGAGGCGAACAGG